rnacentral:rRNA from 1 species
UACGGAGGUGCGAGCGUUGUCCGGAAUCACUGGGCGUAAAGGGCGCGUAGGCGGCCUGAUAAGUAGGGGGUGAAAUCCUGCGGCUUAACCGCAGGGCUGCCUUCUAAACUGUCAGGCUAGAGCACAGUAGAGGCAGGUGGAAUUCCCGGUGUAGCGGUGGAAUGCGUAGAGAUCGGGAAGAACAUCAGUGGCGAAGGCGGCCUGCUGGGCUGUUGCUGACGCUGAGGCGCGACAGCGUGGGGAGCGAACAGG